GACGAACGCUGGCGGCGUGCUUAACACAUGCAAGUCGAACGAUGAUCUCCCGCUUGCUGGGGUGAUUAGUGGCGAACUGGUGAGUAAUACGUGAGUAACCUGCCCUCUACUCUGGGAUAAGCCUGGGAAACCGGGUCUAAUACUUGAUACUACUUCCUGCCGCCUGGUGGGGGGUGGAAAUGUUUUUACUGGUUUUGGAUGGGCUCACGGCCUAUCAGCUUGUUGGUGGAGUAAUGGGUCACCAAGGCGAGGACGGGUAGCCGGCCUGGGAGGGUGACCGGCCACACUGGGACUGAGGGAAGGCCCAGACUGCUACGGGAGGCAGAAGUGGGGAAUAUUGCACCAUGGGCAGCAGCCUGAUGAAGAGAGGCCGCGUGAGGGAUGGCGGUCUUGGGGUUGUAGACAUCUUUCAGCAGGGAAGAAGCCACAAGUGACGGUACCUGAAGAAGAAGCGCCGGCUAACUACGUG
rnacentral:rRNA from 1 species